rnacentral:tRNA from 1 species
GACCACGUAGCUCAGUUGGCAGAGCAUUGGACUAGUAUUCCAAAUGUCGUAGGUUCGAUUCCCACCGUGGUCA